rnacentral:lncRNA from 1 species
AAAAAAAUAGAAUAAGCGAAGUCGAAUGGCGGUCGAGACUCACUUACACUGAGAAGCGUCCCAACCUUAGACUUAGCAAGAAAAAGAAAAAAAAAUAGAAAAAAAAUAGGAGAGGCAUAGGAAUUCUUUAGUGACCCUAAAUUGUAGUUGACUCUUUAGUAAAGAAGUGUUUAAACCUGAUUCUGAUUAACGGCUCAUAGUGAGGACUCUAUUGAAGUUUGAUAGUCUUUGUUUUGUUUCACUAGAGAGCAUGCUAGCACACACGAUGCACUUCACACUUGUAGUGGAAGAGGACAUGGCUAAUAUGUGAAAGAGAUGAAUGCCGAGAAUGUUGCAUAUUCUGAGGAUGC